UACGGGGGGAGCAAGCGUUGUUCGGAUUUACUGGGCGUAAAGGGCGCGUAGGCGGUCGUGACAAGUCACUUGUGAAAUCUCCGGGCUUAACUCGGAACGGUCAAGUGAUACUGUCGGACUAGAGUGCAGAAGGGGCAACUGGAAUUCUCGGUGUAGCGGUGAAAUGCGUAGAUAUCGUAAGGAAGACCAGUGGCGAAGGCGGAUCUCUGGACAGUUACUGACACUGAGGCACGAAGGCCAGGGGAGCAAACGGG
rnacentral:rRNA from 1 species